rnacentral:lncRNA from 12 species
GCAUCCUUUUGCUUUCCUCUCAAAAGUCCUCGCCUAAGUGCUGUGUUGGAAGCAGCCACCUUUGCAGGGCUGAGCUGCUGCAACAUUGUAAAUGCCAGCAAAUAAAAGUGUCAGCAGUCUGGCUGUGGGAGGCUGGCAGGGCCCGGAGUUCAGUGCUGUUCUGUCCAGAUUGGCCGUUCUAAGGGGGCUGGUUCAUAUCCAGCCCACACGAGUAGUGAUUCAGAGUUAUUUCCUACUGAUGGCUCUUCCUGACCCCAGGAAAAGGUGUUUGGACUUUUCCAGCCGCAGCCCACCGGGAAGGAGGAAUGCCUACUCAACUUGAACUGCCCUCUCUCUGCAGCAGAUGGCCUCAUCCUAUUUAAUGGCUGGCAUUUUGAGGGGUUGGGGGAAGGUUCCCUACCCACGCCCGUACUGAUCACAGAAUUUUUGUAUUACUUCUGGUGGGACCCAUAAUCACAGGAAAAAAUAUAAGCAGACUUGUUUUCUUUUCACCACUGGAUGUAUUUAUUUACAAAGAGGGCCUCUAAACAGUCAGAGACACAUACACUUACUGGUAGUAAAACUCUACCCUGCGAUUUGCAGAUUUCUCGGGCUGUGCUUCCUGCAGCAGUGAGGGCCUUGUCCUAUCACAGUGCUCAGAAGGGAGCUUCAGCCGUGUCUGUCUUGGGCCACUGCACAGAUGAUUCCUGCAUUUGGAGUGCUACCUGGAGCAAGGAGACCAGGGGAAGGACGAGUCUGGAAUUGGGUGAGGAUGAAAUCGAGAUAUGGAACAGUGGCUGUAGAGCAAGAAAUCUAAGGAUGACAUUAAAAGAAGACGUGACUAUGCCAGUGAAGCACUUGGAAAUUUCAGAUGAAAUAUGCUGCAUAAAAUCCACUGGGUGUGUCUGUAAUCUGAACUGA